UUUCCGUAGGUGAACCUGCGGAAGGAUCAUUAGUGAAUAAACAAGUGCAGGUUGUGCUGGCCUUCUUGGUAUGUGCACGCCUGCCAGCUUCAUUCCAUCUUCCCACCUGUGCACUCUGUGUAGAUUCUGUAUGCUAUUGUCAAGCUUUUAUUGUGCUUGGUUGAGAAGAGUUGCUUGUUUCACCAACAAGCUCUACUUGGGCAUGCAGGUCUAUGUUUAUAUCAACACCAUAUGAAUGUUUUAGAAUGUGCUUUAGGCUUUUUGGCCUUUAAAUUAUAUACAACUUUCAACAACGGAUCUCUUGGCUCUC
rnacentral:misc_RNA from 1 species